UCUUACCCCUGAUCGCAGCAGAUAACCCAGAAAGCAGGAAUAGAU
ensembl:sRNA